rfam:Myotis lucifugus cont2.36699, whole genome shotgun sequence.
GGAUGUCAAGGAGAAUGUGAUAUCUUUCACUGGAGUGUUGAGUUGGCUGAUCCGUGUGGCUAGCCAGGUGCCUCUCCCUUCCUUCCUCACCUUUCCACAUGCAUCUCUUCUGAAGCUGAGCAUGUGGUAGAUGACAACCUCCCCAUAGAGGAGGACCAUGCUUCCGUCAAUGAAUAUUCCUUGCUAAGACCUCUACACUAGCUCUCCAAGUCCACUUGUAGGAGGACAUAGGGUAGUUUAUAAAAAUAAAUAAUAAAAAAACUUUAUAGGCAUUAAUGAGUUUUGUGGA